UGCUCUUCCCUCCCCUGCAUUCUCGUGAUUGAGGGUUCGCGCUUUUUGUCAGAAUGAAUGACAAUAUAACUUUAGUAUUGCACCAUGGAGGAAGAUUCACUCCACGUGCCAGUGAUGGAAAGGUUGAAUAUAUAGGCGGAGAAUUUGACGUUUGGGAGGAUAUAUCUGCAGAUUGCCUGAAUGCAUUUAUCUUAUAUGAUCUGGUGAAAGCUUGUAAGAAGUAUAGCAAUAUAGGAGAAUGUUUUUGGUUGAUUGAUAAGGACUUAGAUUUUAAUCAUGGGUUAAGGAGUUGUACAACUGAUGGAGAUAUAUUACACUUAGUUAGGGAUGCUUUUGAAAAUGAGAAUGAGAUAAAUGUUUAUUUUCAUCA